rnacentral:tRNA from 1 species
GGUGCGGUACCCAAGUGGUAAGGGAGCAGUCUGCAAAACUGUUAUUCGUCGGUUCAAUUCCGACCCGCACCU